AUGCUUUCAGCAGUUAUCCUCUCUUCCCUGCAAAAAAAAGUAGUUAUCCUCUCUGAACUUAGCAGAUACUAUGAUAGCGAUAGCAUUUGCCAAUUCGGCAGUUCGAUCUAUGAUUUCACAUUCAUGGACGUUGAUAAGAUCCUUCCAUUUAGUAGCACCUUAGGAUGGCAUAGCCUUAACGUUAAUGGCGAGGUUCAAAAGAGGAAAGGCUUGCGGUGGAUACCUAGGCACCCAGAGACGAGGAAGGGCGUAGCAAGCGACAAAAUGCUUCGGGGAGUUGAAAAUAAGCAUAGAUCCGGAGAUUCCCAAAUAGGUCAACCUUUUAAACUGCCUGCUGAAUCCAUGAGUAGGCAAGAGACAACCUGACGAACUGAAACAUCUUAG
rnacentral:rRNA from 1 species